rnacentral:rRNA from 1 species
AGGUCAAGUGAAGAAGGGCGCACGGUGAAUGCCUUGGCACUGGAAGCCGAUGAAGGACGCGACUAACCGCGAAAGUCUUCGGGGAGCCGUAAGUAGGCUUUGAUCCGGAGGUCUCCGAAUGGGGGAACCCAGCAUGUGCAGACAUGCUAUCCUUAAGUGAAUACAUAGCUUAAGGAGGGAACACGCAGUGAACUGAAACAUCUAAGUAGCUGCAGGAAGAGAAAGAAAUAUCGAUUUCCCAAGUAGCGGCGAGCGAACAGGAAAGAGCCCAAACCGGCAGAUUUAUCUGCCGGGGUUGUAGGACUGAGACAUGGCACUUCAGAGGAUAGCAGAAGCGUUUGGGAAAGCGCGCCAGAGAGGGUGAGAGCCCCGUAAGCGAAAUCCAAAGAAGGCCUAUCAGUAUCCUGAGUAGGGCGGGACACGUGAAAUCCCGUUUGAAUCCGCGAGGACCAUCUCGCAAGGCUAAAUACUAACCAGUGACCGAUAGUGAACCAGUACCGUGAGGGAAAGGUGAAAAGAACCCCGGGAGGGGAGUGAAAGAGAACCUGAAACCGUGUGCCUACAAGUAGUCAGAGCCCGUUAACGGGUAAUGGCGUGCCUUUUGUAGAAUGAACCGGCGAGUUGCGUUAGUCAGCAAGGUUAAGUCAGAAAAGACGGAGCCGUAGCGAAAGCGAGUCUGAAGAGGGCGAGCAGUUGGCUGACGCAGACCCGAAACCAAGUGACCUACCCAUGACCAGGUUGAAGGCGCGGUAAAACGCGCUGGAGGACCGAACCCACGUAAGUUGAAAAUUGCGGGGAUGAGUUGUGGGUAGCGGUGAAAUUCCAAACGAACUUGGAGAUAGCUGGUUCUCUCCGAAAUAGCUUUAGGGCUAGCCUCGCAAAGAGGAUGCUGGAGGUAGAGCUCUGUUUGGACUAGGGGCCCGUCAAGGGUUACUGAAUUCAGAUAAACUGCGAAUUCCAGACAUUUAUGUGCGGGAGUCAGACUGCGAGUGAUAAGAUCCGUAGUCGAAAGGGAAACAGCCCAGAUCACCAGUUAAGGUCCCAAAAUUCAUGCUAAGUGGAAAAGGAUGUGGAGUUGCGCAGACAACUAGGACGUUGGCUCAGAAGCAGCCAUCAUUCAAAGAGUGCGUAAUAGCUCACUAGUCGAGUGACGCCGCGCCGAAAAUUUACCGGGGCUAAGCAUGAUACCGAAACUGUGGAUGUGCAUUUAUGCACGUGGUAGGAGAGCGUUCUAGCGGCGGUGAAGCAUGACCGAGAGGACAUGUGGAGCUUCUAGAAGUGAGAAUGCCGGUAUGAGUAACGAAAGACAGGUGAGAAUCCUGUCCGCCGCAAGACUAAGGUUUCCUGGGGCAGGCUCGUCCGCCCAGGGUAAGUCGGGACCUAAGGCGAGGCCGAGAGGCGUAGUCGAUGGACAACAGGUUGAAAUUCCUGUACUGCACCGAAUCGUUAUGAGCGAUGGAGGGACGCAGGAGGCUAGCAGCGCGUGGUGCUGGAUACCACGUUCAAGCG